ACUGGCCCCGCCUCUUCCUCUCGGUCCCAUAUUGAACUCGAGUUGGAAGAGGCGAGUCCGGUCUCAAAAUGGAGGUAAAACCGCCGCCCGGUCGCCCCCAGCCCGACUCCGGCCGUCGCCGCCGCCGCCGGGGGGAGGAGGGCCAUGAUCCAAAGGAACCAGAGCAGCUAAGGAAGCUGUUUAUUGGUGGUCUGAGCUUUGAAACUACAGAUGAUAGUUUAAGAGAACAUUUUGAGAAAUGGGGCACACUCACAGAUUGUGUGGUAAUGAGAGACCCCCAAACAAAACGUUCCAGGGGCUUUGGCUUUGUGACCUACUCUUGUGUUGAAGAGGUGGAUGCAGCAAUGUGUGCUCGACCACACAAGGUUGAUGGGCGUGUAGUGGAACCAAAGAGAGCUGUUUCUAGAGAGGAUUCUGUAAAGCCUGGUGCCCAUCUAACAGUGAAAAAAAUUUUUGUUGGUGGUAUUAAAGAAGAUACAGAAGAAUAUAAUUUGAGAGACUACUUUGAAAAGUAUGGCAAGAUUGAAACCAUAGAAGUUAUGGAAGAUAGGCAGAGUGGAAAAAAGAGAGGAUUUGCUUUUGUAACUUUUGAUGAUCAUGAUACAGUUGAUAAAAUUGUUGUUCAGAAAUACCACACUAUUAAUGGGCAUAAUUGUGAAGUGAAAAAGGCCCUUUCUAAACAAGAGAUGCAGUCUGCUGGAUCACAGAGAGGUCGUGGAGGUGGAUCUGGCAACUUUAUGGGUCGUGGAGGAAACUUUGGAGGUGGUGGAGGUAAUUUGGCCGUGGUGGAAACUUUGGUGGAAGAGGAGGUUAUGGUGGUGGAGGUGGUGGCAGCAGAGGUAGUUAUGGAGGAGGUGAUGGUGGAUAUAAUGGAUUUGGAGGUGAUGGUGGCAACUAUGGCGGUGGCCCUGGUUAUAGUAGUAGAGGAGGCUAUGGUGGUGGUGGACCAGGAUAUGGGAACCAAGGUGGUGGAUAUGGUGGUGGUGGAGGAGGUUACGAUGGUUACAAUGAAGGAGGAAAUUUUGGUGGCGGUAACUAUGGUGGUGGUGGGAACUAUAAUGAUUUUGGAAAUUAUAGUGGACAACAGCAGUCAAAUUAUGGACCCAUGAAGGGGGGAAGUUUUGGUGGAAGAAGCUCUGGCAGUCCCUAUGGUGGUGGUUAUGGAUCUGGUGGUGGAAGUGGUGGAUAUGGUAGCAGAAGGUUUUAAAAACAGCAGAAAAAGGGCUACAGUUCUUAGCAGGAGAGAGAGCGAGGAGUUGUCAGGAAAGCUGCAGGUUACUUUGAGACAGUCGUCCCAAAUGCAUUAGAGGAACUGUAAAAAUCUGCCACAGGAGGAACGAUGAUCCAUAGUCAGAAAAGUUACUGCAGCUUAAACAGGAAACCCUUCUUGUUCAGGACUGUCAUAGCCACAGUUUGCAAAAAGUGCAGCUAUUGAUUAAUGCAAUGUAGUGUCAAUUAGAUGUACAUUCCUGAGGUCUUUUAUCUGUUGUAGCUUUGUCUUUUUCUUUUUCUUUUCAUUACAUCAGGUAUAUUGCCCUGUAAAUUGUGGUAGUGGUACCAGGAAUAAAAAAUUAAGGAAUUUUUAACUUUUCAAUAUUUGUGUAGUUCAGUUUUUCUACAUUUUAGUACAGAAACUUUAACAAAAUGCAGUUUUGAAGGUGUUUCCUUGUGAGUUAACAAGUAAAGAUCAUUGUUAAUUACUAUUUUGUAUGAAUUUUGCUAAAGUUAACUGUAAAGAAACACCUACUGACUUGCAGUUUAAGGGGAACCUAUUCUCCCCAUUUCCAAACCAUGAUAUGAAUGGGCGCUGACAUGUGGAGAGAAUAGAUAUUUGUAUGUUUGCAAUGUGUGUUUUAGAUACUUAGGAUUGGGUAUUUAAAUUAGCAUAUUUGUGAAUUUAAUAGCAUUAAGAUAACCUUCAAAUGAAAAGAAUCUCAAAAUUUCUAUUUGGUUUUUGUGCAUUUUCUUUCAAAAUGUAAUGAUUUUAGUAUGUUAGACUUGCUGAGUCCUGGGUGUUACAUCUCCAUUCUACAUUUACCUUGGUCACAUUUAAACUGCUACCAUAGUUUUGGGGUAUACAACAUGUCUACUGCCUCUGUUUAGAUUCUGGAAUAGGGUGGUAGAUGUUUUCCCUCUCCACCUUAAAAACUACUCUUAAUUUUUGAUACUUGACCACUAUGUUUGUUACUACGUUUGAACAAAUUAGUGGUCAUCUGAUUUUGUUCUCUUUUUCAUUUUAAACCCCAGAAUUCCAUAAGUUGAGUUACUUUCCUUGGUUUACUUAUCUUUCCCCUCACCCCGCCAACACAUACAUGUUUUCAAGCAAGAGAAUAGAAAACAGUUCAUUGUUCAAUUUUUCACUGGCUGGCAUGCUUAGCUGUUUGUACCCUACACAUUUUGCUGAAUAAAACCAAGGAUAGUUUAGGUAUAGUUGUCCGAAAUAACUUAAUGCAGCAGAAAUGUAGCACAGUUGCUUAGUACAAGAUUCUCACUUCCCAAAGACCUGAAUUAAAAUUUGCAGAGUCCAAGUUCUUAAAUUCCCAAAGAACACACUGUUACUCCUUAUGUAUAUUUUUACCUAAAUUGUGUUGGUGUGACUUACCAAUUUGUUUAGAAGUUGCUGGUAGAAAAGAAUUUUAGGUAAUAAGGUCAUAUAUAUAAAAAAUGUCUGUUUGCGCCAGCUAGUGCUUACAAUUUCACUCAAGCCCUAAGUAUGUGCCCUGCUGUUACUCUUUCUUUAGUAGUUGAACAUUGGAUUCAAGAUUUUUACUUGGUUUAUAAAGUACUAAGCAAAACAAGCAAUAAAAAGGGGAAUGGGGCGUGCUAGUGUUUGAAUAUGCUCUCUUGUUGCUCUAAUUCUGUGCCUCUGUGCAUUAUUAAUAUUUGGAUGCAUGCAAUGCCAGCAUGGAAAUUGGUCUUCACAAAUACUGCAGUUUUCCAGAAAACACUCACAAACCAAUAAAUGUAACAGACAACAUUCCAUUUGUUAAUGGACAUAUGUGAAUAAGCAGUGUAGAAAAUAGGCUUAUAUUAGAAAAUGGUUAAGUCCUUAAUAACUUCAAGUGUGGUUAUAUAAAUACAUGGACACUGUCAAUGUUCAAAACUUAAACUUGGGUACCUGGUCAAAAUAAUGCUUGGGAAACAUUCUAUUAAAAUCAAGCUAAAUUGUCUCAAGUUCUUUUAUUCAUAUAAUAAAGGUUGAAGGAAUGGGGAAGAUUAACAUUUCCUGUUUUUAUGUUUGUGACAUUGUUUGACACAACCUUGACAGUAUCCUUUAAUGGUAUAUGAGGUUAAUUGUUUUGUUAACCAACUUCUUAUGUUCUGGAACUAGUAGUUUAAUAAGUAAAAAUAUUUUUCAGUAAGUGGAUGUUUACAACCUAUAAGCAGGUGAAAUUUGUAUGUGACCUGUUUAUAAGUUGUAUUAGUUUAGCUUUUCUGAACAAUGUGGAAAAGUAAGCCAUGAGGAGAGCGAUAUAACCAGCUUUAAAGGACAAACUGUGCUUUUUAAGCACAGUGUGGAUCAAAGGAAACUCUCACUAAGACAGGACUUCAGCAGCCUUUUUGAGUAUGGACAAGUCAGCAUAAAUAAAGAAUGAGAAGGCAGCAGCAAGAGCUUCAACUACAGAGAAGUGAAGGCAUAAGAUACUAUGAUGAUAGUGAGCAACUUUCCAAAAAGCUAGUUAAAUCUGCUUAUUACAACUGAAAUAUCGAAGAAAGUCUAGCAGGAAGGAGUUCUUCGCCUUUUGGAACAUCAAUGAGAGAUAGUUGCCACAGUCACUAGGUCUAGCAUUUAGACCUGCAAGGAAGGGCAAUAAGCAUUAGGUAAGGCUUGAAUUUGAAUUUUUUCACUAAUUAAAGAGUAAUUUUUUGUAAAGCAAGGUAAGAGUAAUCUUUUUGAUUUGCAGGUUGAAUGAGAACCCUACUUGCCUAAAUGAGGAAUGUCUUUCCUACCAUCUUAAAUACGAAGGUUUCUGGCUGGGUAAGGUUUGUAGCUCACAGUAAAACCUAAUGACACCAUUUAUUUCCCUACAAAUCCAUACUACAUAUUUUGAAACGUCACCCCUCUUUAGAAGGCAAAUUCUCAAGCUGAAAACUUUUAUCUUGGUACCACAUUGAACACGUUUUAAAGCAUAGGCAAAAUUGCCCUGUAAUGGCCAUGUGCAGCAUGAAUCAAAUACGACUUCUUGUGUGCUACUCACUGUUAUUAGGGCAAAGUCUGUUGUCAGUAAAGAAAGAGUAGCCUCCCUUUCUGUGAAGUUUUUGUAAUCAGGACUUUUAACAUGAGUAAGCUGCCAUUCAUACUGAGAAGGAUAACCAUUACACAAUUACUAGAUGAUGAUAGAUAUUAGAAUGAUCUUAAUUUAAGUGACCUCCUAAGUUCUUCUAUACAUAAAUUCAGGGAAUUACUUGGCCCAACAGGAUAAAUUUGUUAAAUGUUAACCCUAAAUAGGGGGUUCUAAUUACACUAAAGCCCCUCUUAAAAAAGACAUUUUUCCCAAGAAUUAAUGUCAGUUGGAAAAGGGAUUUUUUUUUUUUUUUUUUGCUGCCCUUAAAGGGCUAGUAAAGUCAGUUUCUUACAUGAACAGGAGUGGUUUGCCAGUUUCUUUUCAGAAAAAGGUUGGUUCUGUCUAAAUAAGUAAUGAAUUCCCACAUAGCUUAGAAUUGUUAAAUAAGGUAUUAGCCUUUUCACAUGGUUUUGGUGAAGCACAUUUCCUAAGACAGGAAACACUUUAAAGGCAUUCAUUUUAUCUAUGAAAUAAAGUGGUUUUAUUUAAAUGCAGUUUCAUUGUCAUUUCUGAAAAACAACCGUCUUCAGUUGUAGCACUGGUAAACAAGGAAAUUCUAAGUAGGAAAUGGUUGGGGCAAACUUUUUAACUGAUUUUGUUAAAGUUUGUAGGUUACUGCUUCUAAUGUUAACAUUAAAGUGAAUUUACACUCAUGUUCUAAAGGGAGAGAAAAUUUGUAUGGUAAGAUGAAGCCCAUUUGUUUGGGAACCAAGUAGAAACACAGGCUUGGUUUUAAGCUUUCCAGAGUAAGCUACAAUAUGAAAUACUCCUCUAAAGACUAUCUCCGAGUAACGUCACAAAGUAGUGAAUAAGCAUGGUAAUGUAAGGAUUGUUAGCCUAUCUAAUUUGCAGUUUUAAAGCUUCAUUAUGUUUUACUCUGAUUUUUAAUCAGGUGGUCUGUAAUGGAUUUAAAUGUUUUGUUUGUAGUUCAAUGAAAUGUUUACAGAAAGAUAACUUUUUCAUUAAAAUAUUUUUUAGAAAUGUGUGUGUGGUUUUGUCACUUCACAGUGUUUGUGACUUAAAUGUUUUGGGUAUAUUACAACUUUAGCAUCAGGAAGCUUUGAAAUAUUUUUGAAAGAUGUGGGUUCUAUAAACUGGGAAAUUGGUUAGAAGAAACAGUAUUUUAAAUUAAAAGUCCAGAGUUAACUGCUACUUAAUACUUGUCUGACAGGAUAUUUAGGUUUUAAAAGACAACACAUGAAACCAUUGGGAGGUGGUACAUGUAAGGAGUAAAUAGGCAAGUAAAUACAUGAAACAAGCUGGGAAAGAAAUGGGGCGUGUUAGAAAUGUCUGGUUUCUUGCAAGGCAGUGAGUUAAACAUUUUGUGGUUGAGGGUGAGUAGGGGAAAGAAGCUUACAUGAAAUUGGUCUUAAUCUACCCUGCAAUUUAACCCAAGUAAAAGUUAAAAGAGUGUUUAGUCACCUUAGUGACUGGUUUGAUAAUUUGUGAUUUUUUAAAAUUGUUUUUAUACCGUUGUGUAUGUGGAUUUCUAGCUUAAACUACAUUAAGUAUAUAAAGUGAAAUUAAAAAUUGAAGCCAGGUAAGGAUUUUUAGUUACAUGUUCAAAACGCUGGCUUUUUACCAUAAUACAGUGGUGUCAUGUUCUGCACAAUAAAGUGAUCUUAAGGACUUAAUGAACAUUAAGUCCUAAAGUAAUUUGGCAAGUGUGGACUUCAUUUCCAACAAGAUAUAUUUUCUCAGAAUGGGAAACUUACAAAUUGCCAAAUACUCAAGAAGAUAAAAUUUGAUUUCUCCCAUGUACCCAUCACAACUAUAUUUGAAUUGGGUUUUCUAAAAAUUAAGUGUUUUCUUUGGCAAAAAUGGGAUUCUGUUACACAAUAGGUUGAUUUAGCUUUGGAUUGAAUAUAUAAUGCCAGAUUUGGGGGCAAGUAACAAAACAUGACAUUUCUGUCACACUUAAGAUGUCAACACCAGGUAAUGUUGAGGGUAGAUGUAAUUGCAUGUUCAUGUAGUGUUUAAAUAGUUUUGAAAGCUAAGAAAUAGCAAUUUGCCCAUACUAUUAACAGGGUUUAAAAGUAAUGGAGUUCUGUCAAAUAUUAACUGGCUAUAUCUGGAGGAUAUAAGACAUGAAUAGAAAUGUGCAAAAAAUACCAAGUUUUGAUGGAUUGCAUUUUUUAGUUAGUCUCAGCUGUUUUGUGCCCUUAUUUAAUAAGGAAUGCAGUUCAGUUUUUGAACUUGUAAGUUUUGCUUAUCCAACUUAAAUACAGAAUUUACAGCAAUCUUGUGACUUUGGAUAGGUUCUUUGGAAGUUAUUUAGCUCAUUUCUGGCUGUUUGGUAAUGCUGAGACACCCCCUUAGAAUGGUGAUUUUAUGUGCAUGGAUGUGUGGAAUUAGGUACUGCAAACAAAAUACUUUUUGUGGCAGUAUAAUACACUUUACAUAUUAAACAAGGUUUUGUGGGUCUGCCUUCUAUUUUUGAAGUUCUGACAGUGAUCUAGUUAGUAUUGAUUUAAGCUAAUUACAAGCACUGUGAAUGACUACCCUGUGGCUUGUUGCCAGGAACACUGAAGGGAAUGCUGUUUCAUUACAUGUUAGAAAAAAUAACUUUGCAUCAAAAUUUUAAGAAAAUUCUAAAUUCUAUCCAAGUUAAGAACACUUGCUUUUAUGUAAAAUACAGAUGACAAUCCACCCUUAAAUCUGAAGUUCUAAGUGUGAAAGGCUUAAAGAGUUCAACCUAGCGCCUAAGAAACUAGAAACUACUAAGAUACUAGAAACUACUAAGUUUCUAGUAUCAUUUGGGUAAUAGCAGUUGUCAUAAGAAUGUCCUGUAGUGUAGUAAGUAAAAUUUUAAUGGGAGACUAUGUAGUUAACAAGGGGUUUUUCCUCCACACAGGGAUUGAAGGGUGUUUUUUGUGAUGCUGGGGGUUAAAUUUGGGGUCUAGUUUGUGCUAGUUAGGGAAGCACUCUACCACUCGAGUUGCUGCCCUAGUCCAUUUUGGAGAUGGGGUCCCACAGACUUUGCCCACGCUGGCUUGAAACUCUGAUCCUCCCGAUCUGGGGCUUCCAAGUGGCUAAAUUGCUGGUGCCCAGCUCUUACUGUUUUUUGGGUUUUUUUUUUCCCCCAGUACUGAGGUUUGAACUCAGGGCCUUGUGCCUGGUAGGCACGUGCUCAACCACUUGAGCCAUACCUCCAGCCCCCUAACUGAUAAUUUUAAACACAGUCUACAUAAAGCAGUGAGUUUAGUACUUGAAGUUAGGUUUUAGGUACUAGAAGGUUCUACAGUAAGUUGUUUUGUUUGAACUGUGGGCAAAGUCUUUUGAAAUACAACAAUGCAGAUGAAGUCUGUUUCAUGUGCCCCAGCAUUGUUUGGCCGUCUUUUAUUGGCCAAUCCCACAUGCCUCAAAUGGAACUGUCCCUGCGAUUAUUGUCACCAACCCAUGUACAGUUUUGUCUAAAAGACGCACACUGUGCUCAAGACUUGAGAUUAUAUUCUGAGUUAGAAAAAGUGUCUUCUCCAGGAAUCAUUACCACCACCACUAGAGGAAAUUCCUCCACAGCCUAAGGAAAGUAUUUGGUACAUAGAAAAUAAUCCGAUAUUAAUCCUAGAAUUGUUGGUCCUUAAAGUUUUCCAGUCAUCCGAAUGAAAUUCUUGCUGAGCUAGUUUGAUUUUUUCAUGUGUUGCCCAAAAUGUCAAUACAAGGCUAAAAUAGUUGACAGCGUUUACCGAGAGCUAGAAUAUAGCUCCACUCUGCAGAUGAGGAAACAAGCCUGAGUGCUGAAGUGAGUUGCAGGUUAUUCUAGGAAUUGAUGGGGAAGAGGCUAAGUCUGCUUCUUGCGUUUGUGGGCCUGGACACCAUAAAGGUCUUGGGGGAAUAGUUUACCAUUAAUGCAUAUGCUUAAACACCUUUUAAAUGGCUCCUUUGGCUGACAAAGGGCAAAACAAAUGACUUCCUUAGAUGAUGAAGAGUUGGAGCCAGGCUCUGGUGGCUCACAUCGGUAAUCAGCUACUCUACUCAGGAGGA